rnacentral:rRNA from 1 species
CGCGUGGAUAAUCUACCUUCGAAUCGGGGAUAACAUUGCGAAAGCGAUGCUAAUACCGGAUAACAUCUAUAAUUCUUUGGGGUUAUGGAUCAAAGAUGGCCUCUACUUGUAAGCUAUUGUUUGAAGAUGAGUCCGCGUCCCAUUAGCUUGUUGGUGGGGUAAUGGCCUACCAAGGCAACGAUGGGUAGCUGGUCUGAGAGGAUGAUCAGCCACACUGGAACUGACACACGGUCCAGACUCCUACGGGAGGCAGCAGUGAGGAAUUUUGCGCAAUGGGGGAAACCCUGACGCAGCAACGCCGCGUGAGUGAUGAAGGCUUUCGGGUCGUAAAGCUCUGUCAAGUGGGAAGAAACUAUAUAGGGUUAACACCUUUAUAUACUGACGGUACCACUGAAGGAAGCACCGGCUAACUCCGUGCCAGCAGCCGCGGUAACACGGGGGGUGCAAGCGUUAUUCGGAUUCACUGGGCGUAAAGAGCGCGUAGGCGGCCAGGUAAGUCAGAUGUGAAAGCCCGGGGCUCAACCCUGGAAGUGCAUCUGAAACUGCUUGGCUUGAGUAUGGGAGAGGGUAGUGGAAUUCCUGGUGUAGAGGUGAAAUUCGUAGAUAUCAGGAGGAACACCGGUGGCGAAGGCGACUACCUGGACCAAUACUGACGCUGAGGCGCGAAGGCGUGGGGAGCAAACAGGAUUAGAUACCCUGAUAGUCCACGCAGUAAACGUUGUUCACUAGGUGUAGCGGGUAUUGACCCCUGCUGUGCCGCAGCUAACGCAUUAAGUGAACCGCCUGGGAAGUACGGCCGCAAGGCUAAAACUCAAAGAAAUUGACGGGGGCCCGCACAAGCGGUGGAGCAUGUGGUUUAAUUCGACGCAACGCGAAGAACCUUACCUGGAUUUGACAUCCCGGGAAUUCUAUCGAAAGACUGAAGUGCCCUUCGGGGAACCCGGUGACAGGUGCUGCAUGGCUGUCGUCAGCUCGUGUCGUGAGAUGUUGGGUUAAGUCCCGCAACGAGCGCAACCCCUGUCUUUAGUUGCCAGCAUUUAGUUGGGGACUCUAAGAUACCGCCCCGGUUAACGGGGAGGAAGGUGGGGAUGACGUCAAGUCCUCAUGGCCUUUAUGUCCAGGGCUACACACGUGCUACAAUGGGCUGUACAGAGGGUAGCGAUGCCGCGAGGUGGAGCCAAUCCCAAAAAGCAGUCCCAAGUUCGGAUUGGAGUCUGCAACUCGACUCCAUGAAGUUGGAAUCGCUAGUAAUCGCGGAUCAGCAUGCCGCGGUGAAUACGUUCCCGGGCCUUGUACACACCGCCCGUCACACCAUGAGAGUUGAUUGUACCGGAAGUUGUUGGGCCAACCUUUCGAGGAGGCAGGCACCUAUGGUAUGAUUGAUGAUUGGGGUGAAGUAACAAGGUAGCC